UGGAUGAGGAUGAGGCAGUAAUAUAAUAAUCCAACACUUGAUCUGAGGCUUUCGUAGUCAAGUGAUGCGUACAUAAUGACUUCUGAAUCUGC